rnacentral:rRNA from 1 species
UACGUAGGGUGCAAGCGUUGUCCGGAAUUAUUGGGCGUAAAGAGCUCGUAGGCGGUUUGUCGCGUCUGCUGUGAAAACUGGAGGCUCAACCUCCAGCCUGCAGUGGGUACGGGCAGACUAGAGUGCGGUAGGGGAGAUUGGAAUUCCUGGUGUAGCGGUGGAAUGCGCAGAUAUCAGGAGGAACACCGAUGGCGAAGGCAGAUCUCUGGGCCGUAACUGGACGCUGAGGAGCGAAAGCAUGGGGGAGCGAACAGGG